rnacentral:tRNA from 1 species
CCUUGGUAACAAGGGGUUACGCCCUGUAAGUGGAUCUACAGUCCAAUGCCUACUCUCGGCCAUAUUACC